GUGAGGUACUAAUGAGCCAGAAAAUAUGUUGGUUCCACAGAUUCUCCCCUUUGGUUUCAGGAAGCCUUAGAUUUGUGCUUUUAGGGGUAUAUUAGACAGAGAUCUUCAAAGAAACAGAAGCAAUAGGAUGUGCGUGGUAUGUGUCUGUGUGUAUGUAUGUCUGUGUGUAUGUAUGUGCGUAUAUGUAUAUGUGUGCGUAUAUAUAGAGAGAGACAGACAGACAGACCAAAAGAGAGAGGAAGAUUUCUUUUAAGGAAUUGGCUCAUGUAAUUGUAGAGCCUGGCAGGUCCAAAACCUGCAGUGUAGGCUGACAAGCUGGAGACUCAAGGAAGAGUUGAUGUUGCUGCCCAAGGCUGAAAGCAGUGUGAGGGCAGAAUUCCUCCUUCCUCUGGGGGCCACAGUCUUUUUCUCUUAGGGCCUUCCACUGAUUGGAUGAGGUCCACACAAGAUCCUGUACUCCUGAACGUCUUCCCUGGAAAACUUCUUCCUGGGAUGUGGGCCCCCAGGCAACACCAUCGAGUUGAAGGGUUCUAUAACCGAAGGGACUUCUGGACCAGUGAGCUCAGCUCUUUGCCUAAGAGGGAGAAAAGGGAGCUCCACAGUCAUAGCUGGUCCACCAUGGUGCUGGUGCGCUGUCUUGGCCUCCUUCUCACAUGCCAGUGCUCUUCCUAUCCUGACCUCCAUAGAGGGACCUUUUCUCCUUGGAACUACCUGAGGUUCAGGUAGGUCCCCCCAGCUGAGCAGAAUACUAAAUAAGGCCGCAAAGAUGAGGAUGAAAGCCUGCAGGUUCAGGAUGGUGGGAAAGAUGGCAUUGGAACAAACGGUAACAUCUAGCAAGCAGUUUGCAUCGACUCUGCACGACAACCAAAAUAUGCUGUGUUGUCCAAAUGAAAAUUCUCCAAAAUAAUGACAUCAAGAUCAAACCAAGAUAAAGAGCUGGCAUCAUUAUACUUGACAGGCAUAUACAGUACUUAUGCUGAAAUUGAAAUGAUCAAAACUAACCUCAUGGAAAAAUGUAAGCACCCAAAGGUUGUAAGAAAAGUCAUACAAAUCAAAUUUAUAAAGCAAAUAAAUCAAAUUUAUAAAGCAA
rnacentral:lncRNA from 1 species